rnacentral:lncRNA from 1 species
UGGUCAGUGAGAAAUGUUUUCUUUCUAAGGUGUAAGGUGCCCAGGAGUAAUGUGAAUAAUGAGAGCAGCAUAUGAGCAGGAGACAAGAUUCCCUCUUACAACCUGACAUGGAGUCCUUCCACUAACAAUCACCAUGGAGGAGCAUGUAUUCACUCCUUUCCACAUGGCAUGAAAAGGAUACUGAGUUCUACCAGCAUCCUGCAGAAGGAGCAAUACCUGAGUCAGGAGAUGAGCAGUAAAGGGACAUGGUAGGAUGACCCAGUCCUUCCUGUAUGCUUGGACUGCAUCUUCGACCAGGACACAGCAAGAUCUUACAAAAUAAUUCCUGUGCUGAAUGUCGUUCUGAAACCUGUUCCCUCCAAGUGGUUGCAGCAUUCACCUAGGAGGUGGGAGACCUGACACCUGACAAUAGCCUCAGACCUGAAUGAACUCCACAAUCCUGUUUUCCUCCUUCCAAACAUGGCUGUGAAGAUAAGUGUAUCAAGGGUUGGGAAGCAGUGAUCUGCCAGGAGAAAAUGCAG